ensembl:snRNA U6 U6 spliceosomal RNA
GUGCUCGCUUCAGCAGCACUAUACUAAAAUUGGAAUGAUAUGGAGAAGAUUAACCUGGCCCCUGCUCAAGGAUGACAUGCAAAUUUAUGAAGCAUUCCAUAUUUUU